ensembl:lncRNA novel transcript
GCUCUGAACCCCACUCCAGCUGCUGCCGACUGUGCCUUUAAAUUACUGCUUUCGGAGGGUGCAUCUAGGGGGAGGUGGGAGGCAGGAAAACAUCUUCCUACCGGUCUCCCUCCUCCCUCCCCUCCAAGACUCUUCAGGGUUUGGAGAGUGAUUGCUGCCCAGAGAGAAUCUUUUCCAGCUCCCAGCUGGCAGGCUAAGGCCCUCCGGAGCCCAAGGCGAGCCCAAGCAGAAGCCAGUAGGGUUAUCUGUGUCAGGAUCAUUUCCAGGGGAAUAGUUCUGGCCCCUGGCAGGUAAAGACAGGCCAGAGGAGAAGAGGCAGAAGAGGAGAGAAAGCAGGCUCUUUUGCGAGCAGCCCAGGUUGGAGAAAGGCUCUGUACUUUUGGCGUUCCUGCAGGGAUAUCCCCUCUCACAUUGGCAGCCAGGCUGAGAAAGGGCUUCAAGAUCCCCGCAGAAUGACAACUCUUGUUCCUGCAACCCUCUCCUUCCUUCUUCUCUGGACCCUGCCAGGGCAGGUCCUCCUCAGCAGGCAGGUGGCAGGUGGCCAGAAGCAGCAGCAGCACCUGGCUAGCGUGGACAUCCUGUGGUGAAGUCACAGACUUCUGCUUGCUCCAGCACCACCACCAGCCUCCUUGGAUUUUCAGAGCCUGCCUCUGUCCCCAGGGGUGGCCUUGGCAAAAGAGGAAGUCAAAUCUGGAACCAAGGGGUCCCAGCCCAUGUCCCCCUCUGAUUUCCUAGACAAACUUAUGGGGCGAACAUCUGGAUAUGAUGCCAGGAUUCGGCCCAAUUUUAAAGGCCCACCCGUGAACGUGACCUGCAACAUCUUCAUCAACAGUUUCAGCUCCAUCACCAAGACCACAAUGGACUACCGGGUGAAUGUCUUCUUGCGGCAACAGUGGAAUGACCCACGCCUGUCCUACCGAGAAUAUCCUGAUGACUCUCUGGACCUCGAUCCCUCCAUGCUGGACUCUAUCUGGAAGCCAGACCUCUUCUUUGCUAAUGAGAAAGGGGCCAACUUCCAUGAGGUGACCACGGACAACAAGUUACUGCGCAUCUUCAAGAAUGGGAAUGUGCUGUACAGCAUCAGGUGCACCGGGUGGAUAGCCAGGAGAGUUUGCGUUAAGGGGAAGAAUUUGGAUGAAGACUGAGGGGUGGGAGGAGGGUUCCCUUGCACUGUGAUGGGCCCCAGUAAGCCGAUGUCACUUCUUUCUUACUGUCCCCACUAGGCUGACCCUCAUUUUGUCCUGCCUGAUGGACCUCAAGAACUUCCCCAUGGACAUCCAGACCUGCACGAUGCAGCUUGAGAGCUUUGGCUACACCAUGAAAGACCUCGUGUUUGAGUGGCUGGAAGAUGCUCCUGCUGUCCAAGUGGCUGAGGGGCUGACUCUGCCCCAGUUUAUCUUGCGGGAUGAGAAGGAUCUAGGCUGUUGUACCAAGCACUACAACACAGGUGUCCUACGUGAAGGCAAUCGACAUCUGGAUGGCUGUGUGUCUGCUCUUUGUGUUCGCUGCCUUGCUGGAGUAUGCUGCCAUAAAUUUUGUUUCUCGUCAGCAUAAAGAAUUCAUACGACUUCGAAGAAGGCAGAGGCGCCAACGCUUGGAGGAAGAUAUCAUCCAAGAAAGUCGUUUCUAUUUCCGUGGCUAUGGCUUGGGCCACUGCCUGCAGGCAAGAGAUGGAGGUCCAAUGGAAGGUUCUGGCAUUUAUAGUCCCCAACCUCCAGCCCCUCUUCUAAGGGAAGGAGAAACCACGCGGAAACUCUACGUGGACUGAGCCAAGAGAAUUGACACCAUCUCCCGGGCUGUCUUCCCUUUCAC